GAAACUUCUGUUUUAUUUAUUUAUUACCUAUUUAUUAGAUGAUGUCACUUGAUUUUAUAUGCAACUGUAAAUGCUAUUAUAUUUGCUGUUUAAAAACUAUUUAAAAGAUCUAAUUUUGGAGAAAGUAUUGUAUCAUACUCAAAACAUAAAUAGCUUUAAUUUGCUAAAGAUAUUUAGUUUCUUAAGCAUUCUAAAAUUCAUCAUAUCUAUGCUUUAUUGAGAAAAUAUAAAAUGUAAUGAAGAGAAAACAAAUAAAGAAAGGCUUUUUUCCAUCUGCCCCAUAUAUCUGCCUGUACCGCAUAAACAUAAGAGAUCUUUCUAAUGGAAUACAGAAUAAAGUAACAUGUGUGGCUAUAUUAAUUUAGAAUUACUGAAUGCAUUUUAGUACAUAACCCAACUAAAUUAAUUGUGAAAGUGUAUUUUAUUUUGAAUUACUGAAUGUGUUCAAAUAAAAUUAAAAUGCAUAUUCAAAAUCAAAACAUGAAAUAUUUUUUAAAGGGUGUGUGCCAUCUUCAUCCCUCACUGAAGGUAAUGGGAGUAUUUUGCACAGCAGUGACAUGCAGUUUUAAAGAGAGUGCAUUUUCUUCUGCUGACUGGACCAUUUUUAUGGCCUAGAUUCACUUAUUACUUGAAGUCAUCUCCUGUAUAUAUUAAAGCAGAAAUAUAUUGAAUAAGUAUGGAGGACACUAGAGAGAGUAUGACUUUAUUUUCUUGAAUUUUAUGGCCAAGAAUAUAAUGUCUAAAAUUUCAAUAAAAAUGUUCCUGUAAAAGGAAUUCUUGUACCA
rnacentral:lncRNA from 1 species